rnacentral:rRNA from 1 species
UCGAGCGAUGAGAUCACUUCGGUGAAGGAUUAGCGGCGAACGGGUGAGGAACACGUGAGGAAUCUGCCUUCAACUCUAGGAUAACUCCGGGAAACCGGGGCUAAUACCGGAUAUGAGCCUUGAUCGCAUGAUCGGGGCUGGAAAGUUUUUCGGUUGAAGAUGACUUCGCGGCCUAUCAGCUUGUUGGUGAGGUAAUGGCUCGCCAAGGCGACGACGGGUAGCCGGCCUGAGAGGGCGACCGGCCACACUGGGACUGAGACACGGCCCAGACUCCUACGGGAGGCAGCAGUGGGGAAUAUUGGGCAAUGGACGAAAGUCUGACCCAGCGACGCCGCGUGCGGGAUGAAGGCCUUC